AGAAAAGGCGCUUGGUCCUCCCGAAAGCAUUUGGAAGACCGUCUCUUUAAUCGCCCUUACGGAGAGGGGGUUGAAUCAGGUCGUCGGGAUUUUCGUCAGCCCUGCCUGUUUCUCGCCUAUUUUCCUUUGAAACCUGGCUGCCCUUCCCUCUUCACCACUGGAAGCUUUCAAGAGAAGACUGGACUGCCAUCUGUCAGAAAUGGUGUAGGGUUGCCUGCUUGGGCCGGGGGGGUUGGGCUAGAUGACCUACGAGGUCCCUUUCAACUCUUAUAAUUCUGUUGCUUCUUUCUCUCGCCGCCCAGUUUUCGCACUCGGGGCGACCCCGAUUCUCCGCUUCUCCUGCAGCCCACCGAGUUUGACUCAAGAGCCGCUGGGAUCGUGCUGAAGGCAGCGGGUCAAGAGCGGGGCCGCCUCUUAACCUACUCGGGACCUUUCGUUUCGUUUCCAUAACUCAUCCGCUCGACCCCAACAUAACUUUAGCGCUGCUCACGUCCCUCGUGGACGGAUCUUACCCGCCUCACUUCACUCAUCAAUCGAAUCACCCGAUCCCCUCUUCGUCGAUCAUAUUUCUCCCGGUUUGAAUGAGCUUCAUCAAACUCAGUGGAAUUUACUUGCAAUCAAGUUAAAGCUUGCCGGACUAUGCUUUUUCUCCAUGAGCAUCCCCACGUGAUCAGAAUUCAGUCACUUGGCAACUGGCAUUUAUUUAUGACAGUUGCAGUGUCCUAGGCUCGUGUGAUCACCUUUUUUGACCUUCUGACAAGCAAAGUCAAUGGGGAAGUAACUAGAAUAUAUACCCUCCUGAAAUCCUGGCAUAUCACCGUCAGCCUAAUUCAACAGGCAGAUCAAUGAUCCGGAUAGAAGAUAGCUUUCACAGGUAAGCUACUUUGACUUAUGACUGGUCAUUUAGCAACCAUUCAAAGUUUUGGCGGACCUCCCCAGAGCUACUUAUGAGCUAGUUUAGAACUUCCAAAGGCUAAGCCUCCUCUCCAUAAUCACAUGAUCACAUUUUGGGUGCUUGGCAACUAGCUCAUAUUAAUGGUUAUCAAUAUUCCAUGGUCACAUGACCACAACUUACAUUUUUUUUUUAAAUCAGAAUUUAUUUCCAGGUUUUGGAAAAAUCUACCCAUUGUGGACAACGGAUUUGUUUUAACGUCUACAACGUUUGCUUUAUGACAGUUCCAAAAGUCAUAAAAUCGGAUCCAUGUGGUGAUCUACUUAAUAUCCGGUACAAUGUACAAACACAAUUCCAGGCUCAAUUAUCGUUGUACAUCAAGUAGUCUACCUAUAUAAGAAUGCAUCGCCAAUUCAGUGGCAUUUCACAGAUGGUUCAAUAUAUUAAAUAGUAGAAAUCUAACAUUGUUACUGAAACAUUCAAAUUUAUUCAAAAUGAUAGUGUUUGCUGGAGUAACAUGAAUGUUUUUUAAUGGCUUGACUAAAAUUACACUUAUGCUUUCUACUAGCCAUAUUACAAAAUGUGCAUCAAAAUUCCUGCUAGAUUUUCUUGGAGGUUCAAUUGCCUUUGUUGUCCAUACAAUUUAAAGAAAUCAGCUGUUUUUUAAUGCAAGCUAAAAGUAUAUUAAUUUGUGUGCUCUAUGUGAUACUUUGUGAUUGGCUGAUUUUUACUAUUUUGCUAUGAUAAACUAAAAAAAUUAAAUUAGAAAAUAUUGAGUGAUUAUCCUGCUUUCUAUCGCCAUCUAGUGUACAAAACAAACAUUAAAAUUCAGACCAGGGUAUCCUGCCUUUCAUUUUUUAUAGCAAAAUCCAACCUGUUGCUGCAGCUUUAUUAAAAUCAACAUACUGAAUCUAUAUUAAAAAUCAAUUGGGUCAGUAAAAAAAGAAUACACAAAGUUAUUAAUAGUCUUUGUUGUGUUUACAGCUAUUUAUUUUAAGGCAAGGCAGCAAGCAAAGACUAAUGUGGAAACAAAAAAAAAUUGUGAAUAAAAAGAUACCAAUUUCCUUAACUAGCAAUCUCAAAAUUAAUGUAUGCAUUGUGAUUUCAGUUUGUUUCAAGGUAUUAAGUUAUCAAAAGAUUCAGAGGGAAGCAAGAGCAUGGCAGCUGUUCUUUAAAACAAGCAAGUAUGAGUAGAAGAAGCAUACUGGUAUGUCUAAGUAGUCCUAGACAAGAUGCUUUUCUGAACUUCAGGAGAGCUAAUUUCUAGUUAGUACUACAGAACCUACUUUGUAUUAUGCCAUCAGAUGGGCAAAAGUUUGAAUUGGCAUAAGGCAGCUUCUUAUUAUUUUGAGCAAAGUUAUAACGCUAGCAUGUUUUGCUCAUGCUUUCCCUCACCACCCCCCCACCCAAUGUUCCUAAAAAUAUCAGGGUGAUCUUUAUAAUUGUUAGAUGUUGAGAAGCACCAGCCUGGCAGGGAGGGAGCUCACACAGGGAAUUAGCCCUUUUGCAUGUGUGCAGUGACUCUAGGCUAAAACUACUCCUCCACCAGGUUUCUUAGAGCCUUAUCUAAGUGUUCCCAAGUGUAGGCUGCCAGACUGGGGAAAUUCCUCUAUUACAGGUAGAACAUAAUAAUUUAGGUUGGAUUCUGCACAUGUGGAUCGGGUUGUUCACACCUAAAAUAGAUGUAAUUACCAUAGGGAAAUCUUAUCAUAUUUAUAUAAGAUUCAUAUAGUCUUGUAGAUUGUGACCUUCGCACAUAUGCAAGAUAUAUUGAGUCAAUCCAGGAAGGAGCAGGGCCCUGACCAACAGCUGUACUGUAAUUGGAAAAGUCCAUCUUUUGUAAGAAAUGCCACAAAUGGAAAUGAAUGAAGAAGAAUAUAUAUAUAUUUACAUUCAAAAAAUUAAAGGGUGGCAUAUCAAAUGCUAAGUAUUCUAAAAUACCAAGUAUUCUCAAUGAGCUAUAGGCUACAUUACAAACAAAUGCUUUUCUUACCUAUUGCUGUAAAUGUUUUGCGAACACAGACUGUCGACAUA